rnacentral:lncRNA from 10 species
AGGGCGGUGCAAGAUGUGCUUUGUUAAACAGAUGCUUGAAGGCAGCAUGCUGGUUAAGAGUCAUCACCACUCCCUAAUCUCAAGUACCCAGGGACACAAACACUCUGCCUAGGAAAACCAGAGACCUUUGUUCACUUGUUUAUCUGCUGACCUUCCCUCCACUAUUGUCCUAUGACCCUGCCAAAUCCCCCUCUGCGAGAAACACCCAAGAAUGAUCAAUUAAAAAAAAAAAAAAAGAAAAACAAAACACAGUCUCUCUAGCAGAUCUAAAUAAAACAUGACUUAAAACCUGAUUUCCUUCAGCACCUCCAAUGGAAAUGGAACAUAUUUCACAAAGGUAAGGUGGGAAAAGAUCUCAUUCCUUUUCUUUGUGGAAUAAAAUAUAAUCUGUUCUGUGUCUGCAUUGUACUGCACUAGUGGCUCAUUCAAUCUCAGUAGUUACUGGGGCUCUGAUUCCCUCGGAGUGCUGCAAAAAUCCUGGAGAAAUGCCAAAGACACCAGGGAGAACUCUCUGAACUUCCGUCUAACCUGUGUAAUGAGUCACACACUCCCUUACUGGUGGGAAGUUCUUUCCCAAUGAAAGCAUUUGAGGCUAUAAAUUUCUCCUAUGUACUGUUUUAGCUAUACAUCAUACAAGUUUUGAUAAUACAGUAUUUUCAUUACCCUUCAGGUCUGAGUAUUUUUAACAUUUGUUUUGUUUUUAUUUAGACUUUACAUUGUAGUGACAUAUUGCAGUCGUCAUCUUUCCUUUUUUUUUUUUUUUUUUUUGAGAUAGAGUCUUGCUCUGUUGCCCAGGCUAGAGUGCAGUGGCAAGAUCUCAGCUUACUGCAACCUUCAUCUCCCGGGUUCAAGUGAUUCUCCCGCCUCAGCCUCCUGAGGAGCUGGGACUACAGGCACGCGCCACCAUGCCUGGAAGAUUUUUAUAAUUUUAGUAGAGACAGGGUUUUACCAUGUUGGCCAGGCUGGUCUCAAACUCCUGACCUCAGGUGAUCCACCCGACUCAGCCUCCCAAAGUGCUGGCAUUAAAGGCGUGAGCCACCACGCCCAGCCCAUUUAUUCCUGAUACUGAUGUGCUGGUAUUAAUAUUUGAGACUUGCUUUGCAGCAUCAAAGUUACCACAUUCUAUGCUGUAGAUGAUAUUUGUAAAUAUUGUAAAUAUGCAAACAAUAUUAAUACAUACCCCAAAGGUGCUUGAGAAAAAUAUAUACAUUCUCUCAGUGUGGGUAAAGAUUUCUAAAUAUAUAUUUUUAAAAUAUCUAUUAAAAUCAAACCUAUGUUCCAAAUAUUACGGUACGAAAAGGGAAAAAUAAGAAUUUCACAGCAAAGAAGUCUGGCAGUCACCACCUUAACCAAGUGAUCAAGGUUAAUGUCACUGAUCAUGAGUCACAUUGAUAUAAUGUACCCCCCAUAUGAUGUGAUGAGAAGGGCAUUUCACCUCUGGAGUAUUCUUCCCAGAAACCCGUAGCCUCCAGUCUAAUCAUGAGAAAAUGUUAGGAACACCUAAAUUGAGGGCCGGGUGUAGUGGCUCAUGCCUGUAAUCCCAGCACUUUGGAAGGCCAAGGUGGGAAGAUCCCUGAGGCCAGGAGUAUGAGACCAGCCUGGCCAACAUGGUGAAACCCCGUCUCUAUUAAAAAUACAAAAAUUAGGCCGGGUGAGGUGGCUCACACCUGCAGUCUUAGCACUUGGGAGGCCGAGGCGGGUGGAUCACCUGAGGUCAGGAGUUCAAGACCAACCUGGCCAACAUGUGAAGGCCCAUCUUUACCAAAAAUACAAAAAUUAGCCAGGUAUGGUGGCGCACGUCUGUAAUCCCAGCUACCCAGGGGGCUGAGACAGGAGAAUCACUGGAACUCAGGAGGCAGAGGCUGCAGUGAGCUGAGAUCCCGCCACUGCACUCCAGUCUGCAUGACAGAGGGAGACUCCAUCUCAAAAAAACAAAACAAAAUACAAAAAUUAGCCGGGCAUGGUGGCACGCACCUGUAGUCUCAGCUACUCGGCAGGCUAAAGCAUGAGUAUCGUUUGAACCUGAGAAAUGGAGGCUGCAGUGAACUGAGAUUGUGCCACUGCACACCAGUCUGGGCAACAGAGCAAGACUCCAUCUCAAAAAAAAGAAAAAGAAAAAGAAAAAUCCAAAUUGAGAGACAUUCUACAAAAUAUCUUACCAACACUUUAAAACUGUCAAGGUCAUGAAAAACAAAGGAAGACUGAGAAACCAUUCCAGAUGGAGGAGAUUAAGGAUACAUAACUAAAUGUAAUGUGCUAUUCUGCAUGGCAGAGAAAAUGGACAUCAAUGGGAAAACUGGCGAAAUCCAGAUAGAGUCUGUGGUUCAGUUAAUGGAGGUCACUGAGGCGCACAGAGUUUAAAACUUGUCAUCAAAGUCACCCAGUUAAGUUGGACCAGAUCUGUGACUCCAAAGCCAGUGCUCACACCACUCCGGGCUGCAUGCCAGCCACACCAACCACCGUUGAGCUCCUCCCUGCAUCCUCCACGCAGCUUUUGGAUGUGGACCACUCUCCUCCUUUGCUCAGUUAAGUCUACUUCCCUGACUCCCAAGAGGUCAGGUGCCCUAUUUACUCUUGCAGCACCUUUCCCUCUUCCUCUGUAGAAUUUCUCAGAGUUUUUAACAAUUUAUGCAUCUUGUUUAUCUUGAUGAAAUUAUGAGCUAACAAAUGUCUGUUUUCACUGGCGUGCAUUCACAGUGCUUAGCACAGAGGCCAGCACUUAGUAAACAGGUAGUGACUGACUGAAUAACAAACGCUGGGUACACUAAAGUUAACUCCAGUAGGAUCUGUGUUAGAGAAGCACACCCAGGACUCGGUGUCUUGCCUCCAGAAGGCUCUGGAACAUGAGGCAGGAUUCCAUCAGGCAUGCCUGAUAUAUACCUCGCCCUGCUCUGCCAAGAUGGAGGAGAGGGGAUACCAGAGAAUGGGGGAUCCAAGCUGGAGCAGCUUCAUUAAGCCCCCACAAGAUGCAGCAGCCUUCCUGUAAAGGAGGCAUCCUUGAACCCCUUAUUGUCUAAAUCUAUGAUGUCCAGUAAGAUAGCUACUCGCCAUAUGUGGCUACUGAGCACUCUAAAUGUGGCUAGUCUAAACUGAGAUGUGCUGUAUGUAUAAAAUAUAUACCAGAUUUCAAAGAUUUCAUUUGGGGAAAAAUCUUAUUAAUAACUUUUAAUAUUGGCUGGGCAAGGUAGCUCAUGCCUGUAGUCUCAGCACUUUGGGAGGCCAAGGCGGGUGGAUCAUUUGAGGCCAGGAGUUCGAGACCCGCCUGGCAAACAUGGCAAAACCCCAUCUCUACUAAAAAUACAGAAAUUAGGGUAAGGUGGCACAUGCCUGUAAUACCAGCUACUUGGGAAACUGAGGUGGAAGGAUCACUUGAACCCAGGAGGCAGAGGUUGC